GAGGAUCCUGCCUGCAUCCCCAUCUUCUGGGUCAGCAAGUGGGUGGACUAUUCGGACAAGUACGGCCUUGGGUAUCAGCUCUGUGAUAACAGCGUGGGGGUGCUCUUCAAUGACUCAACACGCCUCAUCCUCUACAAUGAUGGUGACAGCCUGCAGUACAUAGAGCGUGACGGCACUGAGUCCUACCUCACCGUGAGUUCCCAUCCCAACUCCUUGAUGAAGAAGAUCACCCUCCUUAAAUAUUUCCGCAAUUACAUGAGCGAGCACUUGCUGAAGGCAGGUGCCAACAUCACGCCGCGCGAAGGUGAUGAGCUCGCCCGGCUGCCCUACCUACGGACCUGGUUCCGCACCCGCAGCGCCAUCAUCCUGCACCUCAGCAACGGCAGCGUGCAGAUCAACUUCUUCCAGGUGAGCUGGAGGUCACCAGGCGCAGGAGAGAGCUGGGGUAGGCUCCGCGUGCCUGGCAGUGGCCCAUGUGAGUUGAAUGUGGAGUGAGCGGCUCAGGAUCACACCAAGCUCAUCUUGUGCCCACUGAUGGCAGCCGUGACCUACAUCGACGAGAAGCGGGACUUCCGCACAUACCGCCUGAGUCUCCUGGAGGAGUACGGCUGCUGCAAGGAGCUGGCCAGCCGGCUCCGCUACGCCCGCACUAUGGUGGACAAGCUGCUGAGCUCACGCUCGGC
rnacentral:sRNA from 1 species